GACGAACGCUGGCGGCGUGCCUAAUACAUGCAAGUAGAACGCACAGUUUAUACCGUAGCUUGCUACACCAUAGACUGUGAGUUGCGAACGGGUGAGUAACGCGUAGGUAACCUGCCUGGUAGCGGGGGAUAACUAUUGGAAACGAUAGCUAAUACCGCAUAAUAUUGAUUAUUGCACGAUAAUUGAUUGAAAGAUGCUAUUGCAUCACUACCAGAUGGACCUGCGUUGUAUUAGCUAGUAGGUGAGGUAACGGCUCACCUAGGCGACGAUACAUAGCCGACCUGAGAGGGUGAUCGGCCACACUGGGACUGAGACACGGCCCAGACUCCUACGGGAGGCAGCAGUAGGGAAUCUUCGGCAAUGGACGAAAGUCUGACCGAGCAACGCCGCGUGAGUGAAGAAGGUUUUCGGAUCGUAAAGCUCUGUUGUAAGAGAAGAACGGGUGUGAGAGUGGAAAGUUCACACUGUGACGGUAUCUUACCAGAAAGGGACGGCUAACUACGUG
rnacentral:rRNA from 1 species